rnacentral:rRNA from 1 species
UACGUAGGAUGCAAGUGUUGUCCGGAUUUAUUGGGUUUAAGGGGUGCGUAGGCGGCCUAUUAAGUUAGUGGUGAAAACGUUCGGCUUAACCGGAUACCCGCCAUUGAUACUGAUAGACUUGAGUGCGACAGAGGGUGUUGGAAUGUGUGGUGUAGCGGUGAAAUGCUUAGAUAUCACGCAGAACACCAAUUGCGAAGGCAGAUGCCUAUGUCGUAACUGACGCUGAGGCACGAAAGCGUGGGGAGCAAACGGG